ACAGGGAUUGCCUUAGUAACGGCGAGUGAAGCGGCAACAGCUCAAAUUUGAAAUCUGGCGUCUUCGGCGUCCGAGUUGUAAUUUGCAGAGGGCGCUUUGGGUAUGGGCAGCGGUCCAAGUUCCUUGGAACAGGACGUCACAGAGGGUGAGAAUCCCGUACGUGGUCGCUAGCCUUUACCGUGUAAAGCCCCUUCGACGAGUCGAGUUGUUUGGGAAUGCAGCUCUAAAUGGGAGGUAAAUUUCUUCUAAAGCUAAAUACUGGCCAGAGACCGAUAGCGCACAAGUAGAGUGAUCGAAAGAUGAAAAGCACUUUGGAAAGAGAGUUAAAAAGCACGUGAAAUUGUUGAAAGGGAAGCGCUUGCAGCCAGACUUGCCUGUAGUUGCUCAUCCGGGUUUCUACCCGGUGCACUCUUCUAUAGGCAGGCCAGCAUCAGUUUGGGCGGUUGGAUAAAGGUCUCUGUCAUGUACCUCCUUUCGGGGAGAACUUAUAGGGGAGACGACAUGCAACCAGCCUGGACUGAGGUCCGCGCAUCUGCUAGGAUGCUGGCGUAAUGGCUGUAAGCGGCCCGUCUUGAAACACGGACCAAGGAGUCUAACAUCUAUGCGAGUGUUUGGGUGUCAAGCCCGAACGCGUAAUGAAAGUGAACGGAGGUGGGAACCUUUCGGGGUGCACCAUCGACCGAUCCUGAUGUCUUCGGAUGGAUUUGAGUAAGAGCAUAGCUGUUGGGACCCGAAAGAUGGUGAACUAUGCUUGAAUAGGGUGAAGCCAGAGGAAACUCUGGUGGAGGCUCGCAGCGGUUCUGACGUGCAAAUCGAUCGUCAAAUUUGGGCAUAGGGGCGAAAGACUAAUCGAACUAUCUAGUAGCUGGUUCCUGCCGAAGUUUCCCUCAGGAUAGCAGUAACGUUUUCAGUUUUAUGAGGUAAAGCGAAUGAUUAGAGGCCUGGGGGUUGAAACAACCUU
rnacentral:rRNA from 1 species